CCUACGGGUGGCAGCAGUGGGGAAUAUUGCGCAAUGGGCGAAAGCCUGACGCAGCGACGCCGCGUGAGGGAUGAAGGUCUUAGGAUCGUAAACCUCUGUCAGCAGGGAAGAACGGUUACUGUGCUAAUCAGCAGUGAAUUGACGGUACCUGCAAAGGAAGCACCGGCUAACUCCGUGCCAGCAGCCGCGGUAAUACGGAGGGUGCGAGCGUUAAUCGGAAUUACUGGGCGUAAAGCGCUCGUAGGCGGUAUGUCAAGUCAAGGGUGAAAUCCCCGCGCUCAACGUGGGAACUGCCUUUGAAACUGGCAAACUGGAGUGUGGGAGAGGAUAGUGGAAUUCCAGGUGGAGGAGUGAAAGCCGUAGAUAUCUGGAGGAACAUCAGUGGCGAAGGCGACUAUCUGGCACAUAACUGACGCUGAGGAGCGAAAGCGUGGGUAGCAAACAGGAUUAGAUACCCCAGUAGUC
rnacentral:rRNA from 1 species